rnacentral:misc_RNA from 1 species
GAUGAAGAACGUAGCGAAAUGCGAUAACUAAUGUGAAUUGCAGAAUUCAGUGAAUCAUCGAAUCUUUGAACGCACAUUGCGCCCUUUGGUAUUCCAAAGGGCAUGCCUGUUCGAGCGUCAUUUGUACCCUCAAGCUUUGCUUGGUGUUGGGCGUCUUGUCUCUAGCUUUGCUGGAGACUCGCCUUAAAGUAAUUGGCAGCCGGCCUACUGGUUUCGGAGCGCAGCACAAGUCGCACUCUCUAUCAGCAAAGGUCUAGCAUCCAUUAAGCCUUUUUUUCAACUUUUGACCUCGGAUCAGGUAGGGAUACCCGCUGAACUUAAGCAUAUCAAUAAGCGGAGGA